UACGGAGGGUGCAAACGUUGCUCGGAAUCAUUGGGCGUAAAGCGCACGUAGGCGGCCUGUUAAGUCGGAUGUGAAAGCCCCGGGCUCAACCCGGGAAGUGCAUUCGAAACUGGCGGGCUUGAAUAUGGAAGAGGGUCGCGGAAUUCCCGGUGUAGAGGUGAAAUGCGUAGAUAUCGGGAGGAACACCUGUGGCGAAAGCGGCGCACUGGACCAUAACUGACGCUGAGGCGCGAAAGCUAGGGGAGCAAACAGG
rnacentral:rRNA from 1 species